CACUGCACCCCAGGCUGGGUGAAAAAGUGAGACUCUAUCUCAAAAAAAGAAAAGAAAAGAAAAUCACAUCCAAAUACUUUUAAACGUUCAUGUGCCAGAUUUAAUAUUCAAGUUGCUAACAUGUUAUCUGUAUGUAAAAAAAAAAUGUUCUUCUAACCAGACUUCUUCCAGACUUGUUUUGAUCAGUCUCAACCGGCAUAUGUCAUUGGCACAUUUAAGCACAGGUAUGUAAUUAUUAGCAAUAGUGAGAUGUUCUACAGUGGAGUGCCCAUGUCACCUGAGAUGUGGUGAACAGUUUCAAAUAUCCUUCAUUUUCUGGUAUUCAAAAAUGAGGAAAUGACCUCAAAUUUCAGUGCUAUGGUAAUUCCCCUAGUUAUCUCCUAAUUCUGUGCUCAGUUUUUGAUGCAGCAAUUGAAGCACAGAGUGCUCCCAUGCUAGGCAAAAAUGAUAUCACAUUUUCUGGGGAAAUGUAUCCAAAGAUCAAUCUGUAAUAGAAAAACAGUAUUCACUGGGCACUUAGGUUUAUAUUAUGAUAGCAGAUACUUGAGAACUUUCUCAGAGUAGAAGCAUUCUGUGGGUUUCAUGGUGGCCCAUAAGUUAAUUGGCAGCUGGAGUGUGAAAUAAUUGACCCCCGAGAUAAUGGGUGUAUAAUGAGGAGACUGGGGUUCCUAACUAUCGAGCAUGCUUCUAUGGGAUGUCAUUGAGGUGUUUCCUGUUUCCGUGAACAGUGUCUAGUUUUUUCUUUUUUGACCCUCUAUUUUCAUCACUUCUCAGAUGAGACCCUGGUUGUGGGCAGAGGGCAUGUGAUACAUUCUCUUAAACAUCGGGUCUGCUUCCCUCUGUUUAAACUCAAGUUGGACAGACAAACCCCUUCACUGAAUGCAAGCUGGCUGGUGCUCUGCGGUUUCUGAGAUCAGCGCACAAGGCCAAACCCAGUUUGUCAAUAACAGCUUCUUCCUCAUUGCUUUAUGUUUCUAAUGAAACAGCUCCUAUCUUGUAGUACACAAAGGGGAAAUAUGAGGCUGGAAAGCAACAUAGAAUUCUUCAUUCCAGACAGCAGCCAGUGGGCCCACUGAUUAAGUGAUGGUUGUGCUUAAUGAGAGAAGAAAAAAGACAUCUAAUAGCUAAAGUUUGCCUAAACGUAAUCAUCACUUCCCGUGUAGCAAUUCCAUUUUUCUAAUACUUGAAUGUCUUAUUAUAUAAGAAAGCAAGGUACUUAUUUAUUUUUACAACCUUACCUCUAGUUUCUGUGAACGUUUUCAUGAUAUAAAUUUGUUUCUUUCUCAAAAUAGAUAAAAGACACCAACCGUCUUUUUUAAUCUACUGAAGCACAUGAAUAGUGCUCAUGUCCAUUUUAGGAUACUUCUUUUGUAAGCUAUGAUAUAGGUCUUCCCCACCAAUGGUGGCAGCUUCUGUAGAGGCAAUUUACAAAAACACGAGCACCCCUACCUCCCACCUACAGUUUUUGCUUUCUAUAAAAGUGUUGAGUAUGUCAUAGCUAAGUGGAAUGAAAUGUCCUCCUCCAGAGAAGAAUCUCUUACUAAAAGUAGCCCAGAAGUUUACUGUUGGUGCUUAGAAAAUAAUUGAAGGAUGUGGAAGAAGAAUUACAAAGACAUGCACACACAUGCACUUGCACACAUACAAACACACACACACACACACGUUUAUGAGUCACUGACUGGCAAUCAUAAUAAAUUAUUUCCCCAAAAUGAAUUUUAAGCCUGCAGACUCCAGAGAGGUUGCCUCACCGGCCUGGAGCAGUGCUGGGUGGAGUUGUUUACUCUCCAGUGGCAGCCUUAGGGCUCUUCAGGUAUAUGCGCUCUUAGGCCUCUGUUACCUUCUGUCACUGGGAGACAGGCAGCGAGCGUGUGCACCAGAAACUGCUGCCAUGCCUGUCGCCCUCUAUAAUGUGCAGAUUUUGCUGACUUUUCUCUGAAACCGUAAGAAAAGAUCUAGGGACCAGCUGAAUCACUUGAACUACGGUGAAGAUACGAUGUCUCUGAAAUGAUAAAGCUACAUUUGU